rnacentral:lncRNA from 1 species
GCGAAGUGUUCGACUACCUCGUGUCCCACGGGAGGAUGAAGGAGAAGGAGGCGCGGGCCAAGUUCAGACAGGUCGGGUGGCACCCUGGGGGGGGGGGGGAACACACUCACGUGGGGUGGUGGCACCGCGGUGGCACCGGGUUGGGGACACUGCUGGGGAGGUGGCACCGGGCUGGGGACACUGCUGGGGAGGUGGCACCGGGCUGGGGACACUGCUGAGGAGGUGGCACCAUGGUGGCACCAAGCUGGGGACAUUGCUGGGGAGGUGGCACCAGGCUGGGGACACCGCCGGGGAGGUGGCACCGUGGUGGCACCAAGCUGGGGACACUGCUGGGGAGGUGGCACCGGGCUGGGGACACUGCUGGGGGGGUGACACCGUGGUGGCACCAAGCUGGGGACACCACCAGGGAGGUGGCACCGUGGUGGCACUGGGUUGGGGACACCGCCGGGGAGGUGGCACUGUGGUGGCAUGGGGCUGGGGACACUACCGGGGAGGUGGCACCAGGCUGGGGACAGUGCUGGGGAGGUGACACUGUGGUGGUAUGGGGCUGGGGACAUUGCUGGGGAGGUGGCACCUUGGUGGCACGGGGCUGGGGACACCACCAGGGAGGUGGCACUGUGGUGGCACUGGGCUGGGGACACCACCAGGGAGGUGGCACCGGGCUGGGGACACUGCUGGGGAGGUGGCACCAGGCUGGGGACGCCUGGGGAGGUGGCACCAGGCUGGGGACACUGCUGAGGAGGUGGCACUGUGGUGGCACUGGGUUGGGGACACCACUGGGGAGGUGGCACCAGGCUGAGGACACCGCUGGGGAGGUGGCACCGUGGUGGCACUGGGUUGGGGACACCACUGGGGAGGUGGCACCAGGCUGAGGACACCGCUGGGGAGGUGGCACCAUGGUGGCACUGGGUUGGGGACACUGCUGGGGAGGUGGCACUGGGCUGGGGACACUGCUGUGGAGGUGGCACUGUGGUGGCACUGGGCUGGGGACACUACCGGGGAGGUGGCACCAGGCUGGGGACACCGCUGGGGGGGUGGCACCGGGCUGGGGACACCGCUGGGGAGGUGGCACCGUGGUGACACCGGUUUGGGGACACCAACGAGGGUGGCACGUGGUGGCCACCCAUAGCCAGCACCGACUCCCCGCCGGGGCCACCCGCCGGUG